rnacentral:rRNA from 1 species
GACGGGGGAUGCAAGCGUUAUCCGGAAUCACUGGGCGUAAAGCGUCUGUAGGUGGUGAUGCAAGUCACUGGUGCAAAACUCUGGCUAAACCGGAGGAAAGCCAGUGAAACUGCAUGACUAGAGUGUGGGAGAGGUAGAAGGAAUUCCCUGAGUAGCGGUGAAAUGCGUAGAUACAGGGAAGAACACCGGAGGCGAAAGCGUUCUUCUGGAACACAACUGACACUGAGAGACGAAAGAUAGGGGAGCGCAUGGG